CUUCGCUGUCCACAGUGUCUGCGUGUCCCUCCCCCGGGGGUGUUCCACUGCUCACUGUAUUUCCUAUUGAAAAUGUCCUGGACCUGCUCCCUCAGUGUGUGGGUGAUGUGGAUCUGGGAGAGCCUCAUGUUGUAACUUUCUGCAAAGCAUAAAACAACUAUGGGUUUGGGCUGUUCAGUGAAAAGGCACUUAGGGAAUUUUAAAGAAUAUGAUUUUCUAAUUAUGGGAAACUCCUUCUCUGGCAAUUAAUGGAUCUUUAGAGUGGGCCCCUCAGGUCCUUCAGCACCAAGGUGUUGAUGGAGACAUGUUUUUUCCAGAAGGACAUGCACUGUCGUCACAACGGUGAUGAGCUGGAAAUUAAUUGCUGACAUUUGAAAACCACCAAACCAAUACAUAAGUCCCAGAGACAGAAUUUUGCUCUUGCCACCCAGGCUGAAGUGCAGUGGCACUCGGCUCAGUGCAACCUCUGCCUCCCAGAUUCAAGCAAUUCUCCUGCCUCAGUCUCCACAGUAGCUGGAACUACCGCCUCCCAGAUUCAAGCAAUUCUCCUGCCUCAGUCUCUGCAGUAGCUGGAACUACAGGGAACAUGACAUCCUCUUCCCAGGGUACACCCACCUGCAGAGGGCCCAACCCCAUCACUGGAGCCACUGGAUUCUGAGACUUGAGUGCAAUGGCACGAUCUCAGCUCACUGCAACCUUCACCUCCGAGGUUCCAGUAAUUCUCCUGGCUCAGCCUCCCAAGUAGCUGGGAUUACAGCUGAGUUCCUGUUCUAGGCUUCAUUCUGCAUGACCCAUCUCAGCAGGAUGGCCAGGGACCUCAUCCUCUGUGGCACCAAGGAAUUCAGCUUCAUGUAGCUCUCAGAUGCCUACAGCACCAGAAGCAGCCUGAUGCCCCAGAAGAAAAACCCCGACAGCUUGGAGCUGAUCUGGAGCAAAGCAAGGGUGUGUGUUUGGGCAGGGCACUGGAAAAGGCAAUGCACCUGACCUCUGGGGAAGCUGAUCUGAGAGGCACGCGGGACGUCUUGGUGUGGGGAAUCUGUGUGGAGAUGCGUCUGGAGACAGUGAGUCAUACUUCCUGACCUUAUAACCAUGCAGCUCAGCAGUCUCUGUGAGAGUCGGCUCCCUGCAAUUUGUGUUCCAGGAUCCAUGGAGCACGUAACACAUCCUGAUGCUGUUCUCAGCCUUCUAUGGCCUCUUGGUCACCGUUUCCUACCAUCUGAGCUGGCAGAGCAGUGACCCAUCUGUGUUCAUGUCCUUCAUUCAAUGCAGACUGUUUCCUAAGUUUUUACAUCAAAAUCUGGAAGAGUCAGCUGCUGAUCCUCUCCCCAAGAAGAUGAAAGAUUCUGUGAUGACUAUUCCGUUGUUCCAGCACAUUUCAUAAAAAGGGUACUCCUCCAGUAUCCUCCAACAUCCUCCUCCAGGUUGGGAGCUCUUCAUUUGUCCCAACAUCCUUAACACAUUUAUUUAGCACAUAGAGGUGCUGUUCUAGGAACUUGGAGUACACAUGUGAUCAAGAUAGACUCCAGCCUAC